UACAAUUUCAUAGGCAAUUUCAAUAGCAGUUUCAUACAUCAUAAAAGACAAUCUUGCACUUGGACUCGGUAAAGAAAAGACUGCUCGCGGAAAAAAUGGAAGACGACCGCGCGCCACCACCAGCAGCAGCCCCAGCCAAGGAGUCUUCCUCCUCAAGCGCAUGCAAAGACGUUCCCAAUCUCCUCUCCUCCUUCGUCGAUACCUUCGUCGACUUUUCCGUCAGUGGCGGCCUCCUCCUCUUUCCUCAAAAUGACCAAAACCCUCACCACCGCAACCCCGGCGACGAUCCUCUUCCCUCGCCCCCACCGUUGCAGACCUAUUAUCCCCCGCAGGACCGCUUGAUUGCCAUAGGCGAUCUCCACGGCGACUUGGAGAAGACCAAGGAAUCGCUGAGACUCGCUAAAUUGAUCGACCCGGAGUCGGGUAAAUGGGUCGGUGGGUCGUCCACCUUGGUCCAGAUCGGCGACGUGUUUGACCGUGGCGGCGAUGAGCUCAAAAUCCUUUAUUAUCUUGAGAAAUUGAGACGAGAAGCCGCGAGAUGCGGCGGCACGGUGAUUACAAUGCACGGGAACCACGAGAUCAUGAACGUCGAAGGAGAUUUCAGGUUUGCGACUCACAAGGGUUUGGAUGAGUUUAGGGGUUGGGCCGAUUGGUAUUGCAUUGGGAACCGAAUGAAAUCGCUUUGUAAAGGCUUGGAAGAGCCCAAAGAUCCCUUUGAUGGGGUCCCUCUACGGUUUAAGAAUGUCAAGGAAGAGUUUGUAGAUGGGUUUAGGGCUAGAAUUGCUGCAUUGAGGCCAAAUGGUCCCAUUUCGUCCCGGUUCUUGUCCAAGAACUUGACUGUAUUGGUUGUUGGAGAUUCGGUUUUCGUCCAUGGCGGGCUUUCGGCCGCACACGUUUCUUAUGGUCUGGAGAAGAUCAAUGCGGAGGUGAGGGAUUGGGUUCAUGGAUUGAAGGAAAAAUUUGCACCUGAGUAUUGUCGUGGGAGUAAUGCCGUGGUUUGGUUGAGGAAUUUUUCGCAUGAAUUUGCGGAGAAGUGUGAUUGUUCAGCUCUUGAACAUGUUUUAUCUACAAUUCCUGGCGCUAAGAGGAUGAUUAUGGGUCACACCAUUCAACAGUUUGGGAUUAAUGGCGUUUGCGAAGAGAGAGCAAUUCGGAUUGAUGUUGGUAUGUCGAAGGGGUGUAUUAAUGGGUUGCCUGAAGUUCUGGAGAUCAAUGGGAAUUCAGGUAUGAGGAUCUUGACCUCAAAUCCAUUGUACGAGAAGAAGAAGUAUAGAUCUUCUGUGGAAAGUGAGAGGAGGCCAGGGCCUGGAUUUUUGCCUCAAGAACAUGGACCAAAACAAGUGGAAGUGAAGGCUUAACUAUUUGGAAUCUGGAAAUUGCAAUGGAGAACAUCAUUUCUCUGCGAUUCAUUUUAAAAAUGAUCUCUAUUGAAAGUUGGAUUCAGAAGAACUGAUUUCUGACAAUGCAAGUAUGGGGAUUUGGGUUUCUAUGCAGUUCUUCCAGCUAUCAAUAUCACUCUUAGCCUCCUUUGUUUCGAAAACUGCCUCAAGUUCAAGCUCGCCGGCAAACUCCUGCUCUCCAGAUGGCUGACAAGCAUACUUGGUCAAACAAAGAAGAGAAAGCAUUGUUGGCUGACAUCGAGGAGUCGUUGCAAAUGGCCAAUGUGAUGGAGUAGCUACUUUUAAGAAUAAAUGAAUGCAGGAAGGUGUUGUAACUUGUUCAUCUUCUUCAAUUCCUCCCAAGGAUAUAUGGUGACUCUUCGAUUAUGGACUUGCUUUAUAAGAUAUAUCCAAGUAUUCACUACGUUCUAAUCGUAGAAGUUAAACUGGACUUAUUAGCACAGCUGUUAACCUGGAUUUUUCUUGCCUUAUCUCAAGUCCUGCAAGAGCUAUCUCUAUUAAUGCAUCUGGAAGGAAGAUACAAAUGGAAGUAAUUGUUUUUGACUGUGUAUGGUAAUUGUUUUUAUUCAUUCAUAACCGAGUAAAUACACUUCGGGAAAGAUUUUGGUGUUGGGAAGCUUUAGCAUCCAACCUCUUUUUCCUCAAUUUGUCUCCCAACUUUCUCACGCUAGGAUAUUAUGGGGCCCAGUUGGAUAGAUAUUGAAGAAAUAAUUCGAUUUUAAA